AAGUCCUGGGAGGAAGCAAGGGCCGUCCCCACGUUGUCUCUGAGUGUGGAGUCUUCUCCCCUGCCCGAAAUCACAAAAGUGACCACCCUUCCCCAGGCCGGAGCUGGUGCCCCGGGCCCAACUCCGGAAAGGUCGCCCAGAGCCCCCGCGCAUCUCUGCGUGGAGGGAGGCAGAGGCGUGUGGAGAGAUGGGCACACGUCUUGAGACCCCGAGCCUCUGGAGAGCGUAUAACCCCAUUCGAUUCUCUUGAGAACUCAGCGAGGUCAAUGAUAUGCCCAGUUCACAGAAGAGGAAACUGGCUCAGAGAGGCCAAGACCUGCUGACCUACACACAGCCUGUCUGGGACAAUGGUAGCAACGACUUCAGAGGCCUGUGAUGCGGACGAAACGCCACAGGAAACUGUAUAUGGUGGCGCCAGAGUUCUGACCUUCAGUGGUUCUUUCCCACCAGUUUCCUCUCCUAUAAAAUGUGGAAGUGAA